UACGUAGGGGGCAAGCGUUGUCCGGAAUUAUUGGGCGUAAAGCGCGCGCAGGCGGUCGUUUAAGUCUGGUGUUUAAGCCCGGGGCUCAACCCCGGUUCGCAUCGGAAACUGGAUGACUUGAGUGUAAGAGAGGAAAGUGGAAUUCCACGUGUAGCGGUGAAAUGCGUAGAUAUCUGGAGGAAUACCGGUGGCGAAGGCGGCAUCCUCGGGACCGGCAUUGACGCUGAUGAGCGAAAGCUAGGGGAGCAAACGGG
rnacentral:rRNA from 1 species